rnacentral:rRNA from 1 species
UAGGGAAUCUUCGGCAAUGGACGAAAGUCUGACCGAGCAACGCCGCGUGAGUGAAGAAGGUUUUCGGAUCGUAAAACUCUGUUGUUAGAGAAGAACAAGGACGUUAGUAACUGAACGUCCCCUGACGGUAUCUAACCAGAAAGCCACGGCUAACUACGUGCCAGCAGCCGCGGUAAUACGUAGGUGGCAAGCGUUGUCCGGAUUUAUUGGGCGUAAAGCGAGCGCAGGCGGUUUCUUAAGUCUGAUGUGAAAGCCCCCGGCUCAACCGGGGAGGGUCAUUGGAAACUGGGAGACUUGAGUGCAGAAGAGGAGAGUGGAAUUCCAUGUGUAGCGGUGAAAUGCGUAGAUAUAUGGAGGAAAACCAGUGGCGAAGGCGGCUCUCUGGUCUGUAACUGACGCUGAGGCUCGAAAGCGUGGGGGGCAAACAGG